rnacentral:lncRNA from 1 species
CUGCAGCUCCUCCACCAUCUGAACCACCCAAUCCUUCCUCUCUUCCCCGCAUGGCCCCGUCCCUGCCCUGCCUUCUCCUCGCCUCGCCGUUGUCGACUCGACGACCCCAGCUCGCCGCUGUCUGCGAAGUCGAUGGCCGGCAGUAGCGGCCCGAAUCGAGGAACGAGGGCCCUCUCAGGUGAGAUCCCCUCUCUCAAGUGUUGUGCCCCAUGCCUCUGGUUAGCUCCCCGAUCUGGAUGAUCCCGGGGUUUGAUGUGUGCUGCGAUUAAUUUGGGGAUGGAUCUGGGAUGAUGGAUGGUAGGGGGAUCGGCCGUCCGACGACACGACGAUAACUAGUCGCGACGCCCACGAGACAAAUCAACCGCAACUGGACUAGGGCCUAGGGCAACCGACGGCGGCGGCGCAGGAACAAUUUUUUAGCCACUCGACAGAAAUCAGCGGUGGUGUGGGGGCAUCCAUCAGCAUCCAUACGAGGGCUUCAAGCAACGGCUGCGCGAGGGCAUCAAGCAAGUGCGACGCUAAGAGAUUAGGUGAGGUGAGUUCCCUUGUCUUGGUCUACCG